rnacentral:rRNA from 1 species
UGGGGAAUAUUGCACAAUGGGCGAAAGCCUGAUGCAGCAACGCCGCGUGAGUGAUGAAGGUCUUCGGAUUGUAAAGCUCUGUCUUUUGGGACGAUAAUGACGGUACCAAAGGAGGAAGCCACGGCUAACUACGUGCCAGCAGCCGCGGUAAUACGUAGGUGGCGAGCGUUGUCCGGAUUUACUGGGCGUAAAGGGUGCGUAGGCGGAUGUUUAAGUGAGAUGUGAAAUACCCGGGCUUAACUUGGGUGCUGCAUUUCAAACUGGAUAUCUAGAGUGCAGGAGAGGAGAAUGGAAUUCCUAGUGUAGCGGUGAAAUGCGUAGAGAUUAGGAAGAACACCAGUGGCGAAGGCGAUUCUCUGGACUGUAACUGACGCUGAGGCACGAAAGCGUGGGUAGCAAACAGGAUUAGAUACCCUGGUAGUCCACGCCGUAAACGAUGAGUACUAGGUGUAGGAGGUAUCGA